rnacentral:rRNA from 1 species
UGAGGAAUAUUGGUCAAUGGGGGCAACCCUGAACCAGCCAUGCCGCGUGGAGGAAGACGGCCCUAUGGGUUGUAAACUCCUUUUGUACGGGAAUAACCACUCCUACGUGUAGGGGCUUGAAGGUACUGUACGAAUAAGCAUCGGCUAACUCCGUGCCAGCAGCCGCGGUAAUACGGAGGAUGCAGGCGUUAUCCGGAUUUAUUAGGUUUAAAGGGUGCGUAGGCGGCCCGGUAAGUCAGUGGUGAAAGUUUGCGGCUUAACCGUAAAAUUGCCAUUGAUACUGUCGGGCUAGAAUAUGGUGGAGGUAGGCGGAAUGUGUAGUGUAGCGGUGAAAUGCUUAGAUAUUACACAGAACACCGAUUGCGAAGGCAGCUUGCUAUACCAUUAUUGACGCUGAUGCACGAAAGCGUGGGGAGCGAACAGG